rnacentral:rRNA from 1 species
AAUAGAUACCCCGGUAGUCCACGCCGUAAACGAUGAGUGCUAAGUGUUAGGGGGUUUCCGCCCCUUAGUGCUGCAGCUAACGCAUUAAGCACUCCGCCUGGGGAGUACGGUCGCAAGACUGAAACUCAAAGGAAUUGACGGGGGCCCGCACAAGCGGUGGAGCAUGUGGUUUAAUUCGAAGCAACGCGAAGAACCUUACCAGGUCUUGACAUCCCACUGACCGCUAUGGAGACAUAGUUUUCCCUUCGGGGACAGUGGUGACAGGUGGUGCAUGGUUGUCGUCAGCUCGUGUCGUGAGAUGCUGGGUUAAGUCCCGCAACGAGCGCAACCCUUGAUCUUAGUUGCCAUCAUUUAGUUGGGCACUCUAAGGUGACUGCCGGUGACAAACCGGAGGAAGGUGGGGAUGACGUCAAAUCAUCAUGCCCCUUAUGACCUGGGCUACACACGUGCUACAAUGGACGGUACAAACGGUUGCCAACCCGCGAGGGGGAGCUAAUCCGAUAAAACCGUUCUCAGUUCGGAUUGUAGGCUGCAACUCGCCUAC